GUUGAUGUAUUGAUACUUGUCCUU
rnacentral:sRNA from 1 species